UCUAUAUUGUGCUAGCAUCAAUGAUCAAAAAUAUUUUCUACCCAAGAUCUGUAGUCGCCUAUUUAUCUCCCUUACUUAUGAAACUAAUUUCACACAAACCUAUAUUUUACAGCUUAAAAGGAACUACAACAACCCAAACAAUCAAAACAUCAAAAACUAGAAUCCCAAAAAAGACGAAUCAUUAAUGAUCACCUCUCUUUUUUUGUCUAAUCUUACAAAUAAACUUCAAAACAAAUAUACCAAACCAAUCACCUGAACUAAAACUCAACGACACCUACAUCGAGUCAGCUAAACAAAUACAAACUACACGGCCAACUAUUUAACAAUUUAGAAACUUAUUUUCGCAGAUGCUUACGAAGAAGGCAACCAAGAUCACUGAAAUCGCCUAAACGAAAAAGCAUAAUAAGUUACGAACUAUAAUAAAUACAACUAACAACGAUUUUUGUUUACAUAUUACACAUCAAAUAAAAGAUAAACAAACAAAGAUACACCAAAAGAUUCAAGAGACAAUCCCGAUAUACACAAAGGCGGCAACAACAUCUCCACCUGCUCACUCCUCUUGUCUUAUAAAAAUAGCUUACAUGUCCAAUGUCAACAGGCCAAUAUUGUUGUCUUCUUAUGAGAAAUACAUAAAUUUGUUUAAAACCCAUUAAGGCCCAAAUACUGAGAAUUGUCACUUAUUUUAUAGUUAUUUCUACAAGUCUUCGUGUAUUUGUUUUAAAGGUCCGGUAAAAGCAACAAGUUUAAAACUUAAGAAAAACCAUAUAAUAAACAUAAUAAGGAUAAUAAAAAUUAUUACUUAAUAUACACAAAUUACACAACUAAACUAGCGUAAAAAUAUCCAGAAACAAAAGGUAUGUUCAACAACCUUAAUAUAAUUUAUGUACUCUCAACAGUACACGAAACAAAUUAAAAAGACAAACAAACAAUAAGUCUCAAAGACACAGCAAGCAACACCACGAACUAUAUCAAUCACAUUACUAACACAGUUUACUCCUUCAUAAGUGGAGAACAAUGCCUACAAAGUUCAUCAUCACAACUCUAAUCCUAUAACAAUAAAAAACUUGAAAAACAAUGAUC
rnacentral:lncRNA from 1 species